rnacentral:rRNA from 1 species
UGGGAAUAUUGGACAAUGGGCGCAAGCCUGAUCCAGCAAUGCCGCGUGAGUGAUGAAGGCCUUAGGGUUGUAAAGCUCUUUCGCACGCGACGAUGAUGACGGUAGCGUGAGAAGAAGCCCCGGCUAACUUCGUGCCAGCAGCCGCGGUAAUACGAAGGGGGCUAGCGUUGUUAGGAAUUACUGGGCGUAAAGGGCGCGUAGGCGGCCCGAUCAGUCAGAAGUGAAAGCCCCGGGCUCAACCUGGGAACCGCUUUUGAUACUGUCGGGCUUGAGUUCCGGAGAGGAUGGUGGAAUUCCCAGUGUAGAGGUGAAAUUCGUAGAUAUUGGGAAGAACACCGGUGGCGAAGGCGGCCAUCUGGACGGACACUGACGCUGAGGCGCGAAAGCGUGGGGAGCAAACAGGAUUAGAUAC